ACCCACAUUGGCUCAGUUGGUAGAGCAUAAGACUCUUAAUUUCAGGACUGUGGGUUCGAGCCCCACGUUGGGCA